rnacentral:rRNA from 1 species
AAACGGCUACCAUCGCUAAGGCGAGCAGCAGGCGCGCAACUUAUCCACUGUCCACUCGGACGAGAUAGUGACGAGAAAUAACAAGCCCGUUCUCUUUGAGGUCGGGCAUUGGAAUGGACCGAAUGUAAACGAUUCGGUGAGUACCCACGAGAGGGCAAGUCUGGUGCCAGCAGCCGCGGUAAUUCCAGCUCUCGUAAUGUAUAGAAUUAUUGUUGCGGUUAAAAAGUUCGUAGUUGGAUUUCAUACCGCCAGUGGGUCGUGCCUAACGGUGCGUACUCGCGGCGGUGUUUAUGCCGGGGCGGGCUUGCCUGCCCCAGCAUGGAUUACUUUGAACGGCUUAAGUGCUCAAGGCGGGUCUUCGGACUGAAUACCGGUGCAUGGAAUAAUGGAACAAGGUUUCGGCCGAGUUUUAUUGGUUUUGUCGGCUGAGACAAUGGUUAACAGGAACAGCUGGGGGCACUCGUAUCCCGGCGCGAGAGGUGAAAUUCGUGGACCGUCGGGAGACGCCCUAAAGCGAAGGCAUUUGCCAAGAGUGUUUUCAUUAAUCAAGAACGAAAGUCAGAGGUUCGAAGGCGAUUAGAUACCGCCCUAGUUCUGACCGUAAACGAUACCAACUAUCAAUCCGCCAGUAGCUUUUGGUUAUUGGCGGGCGGAUCGACGGAAACGAAAGUUUUUCGGUUCCGGGGGAAGUAUGGUUGCAAAGCUGAAACUUAAAGGAAUUGACGGAGGGGCACCACCAGGAGUGGAGCUUGCGGCUUAAUUUGACCCAACACGGGAAACCUCACCCGGCCAGUACAUCAUAAGGAUUGACAGAUUGAAAGCUCUUUCAUGAUUUGAUGAAUGGUGGUGCAUGGCCGUUCUUAGUUCGUGGCGUGAGUCGUCUGCUUAAUUGCGAUAACGAGCGAGACUCCGACUGUUAAAUAGCACCCGUUUCUUUUCGAGCGGGCGGCUUCUUAACUGGAUUCGCGGCUUCAAGCCGCAAGAAAUGGAGCAAUAACAGGUCUGUGAUGCCCUUAGAUGUUCGGGGCCGCACGCGUGCUACAAUGAUGGUAACAGCGUGAUUGUCCUCGCCCGACAGGGCUUGGCAAACAGUUGAGAUAUUAUUAUGGCUGGAAUUGAGUGUUGAAAUUUUCUCUCAUGAACGAGGAAUUCCAAGUAAAUGCGAGUCAUCAACUUGCAUUGAUUACGUCCCUGCCCUUUGUACACACCGCCCGUCGCUACCCGGGACUGAGUUGUUUCGAGAAAUCUACGGACCGGCCGCUUCUCGCAAGAGACCCGGCUGGAAAGUGACUUAAUCGCAACGGCUUGAACCGGGUAAAAGUCGUAA